rnacentral:lncRNA from 1 species
GCGGGGCCUGGCGCGUCCGCCGAGCGCGGGGGUUUGUUUAUUUUCCCGGUUGGUAGCGGCGCUGGCGCUGGUUAGAGGUUCGCCGGUGACGUGAGCGCCCGAGUUGGGGGAGAGGACCAGAACCACCUGCUGGAGAAAGGGAGCUACGGGGGCCGGGCAGGGUCCAAACGCCUCACGUGGGCGGCGGCGCCACGGUCUUCGGGGUCACAGGGAAGAGAAGGGCUCUCCUCAAGCGGGUGGAAGGAGGGAGGCCUCCCGAGGGAAUGAGACUCCAGGCCACUCCCCCGCAGCAAGGCAGGAUCACCUGCGUCGCGGAGAGCAGUUAGAGGUCCCUGGAGUGGAAAAGGGCAGUGGGACCUGGUAGCUUGGGUUCCCUGCAACUUGGGGUUCGACCUCCAGGCAAUGAAGUAGGGAUGGUCCUGCAAGUCAAGAUUCCAGUAGCAAGAGUGCAUCAGAUCUCUGUAAGGAAAAUAACUAACAUUGCUCAGUUCCCUGUAGAGUUGCAGGGCGCUUUGACGUUAUCUCCCUUGGUUCUCCAUCAGGUCGUAGUGGACUAAUUUUACAGGCGAAGUUAAGUGACUUACCCAAAACCUCACAGCUAAUAAACGGCAGAGCCGGCACCCAGCUGUACUGGCUUCCAGCGCAUCCCAUUAUCUCCAUAAAUCCCCCUGAUUCAACUAAUAUUAGACGCCCCACAGGUAAGAUGCUUCAGAGUUAGAGGGGAGUUGAAGAUACCUUUGCCUUCAAAGAAGUAAGGAAUGAAACAAAGAUAAAACAGACAAUAAAAGACAAACCAUGAUAGGUGCCACGUGAAAAGUGGCAGAGUACUGCCGGGAAUCAAAGAACCGUGUAUAUCUGUCUUGGGGAUAAGGAAAGAAACGCAGCAUGAAGGAGUAGGCAUUUGGGAUUGACCUUGAAGGAGACAGGGAGAGUUUUACAGCAAGAAGGGAUAGCAUGAGAAUAUAUAUGAAGGCGAAUCAGUGAAAGUUGUGUUGGGGAAAGAGCAAAGACUCCAGGUAUGUUGAGAGGUAGAAAAGACAAAGGAGUAUGGGGCCUAAGAUACCAAAUGGAUGAAUUUAUAUUUAAUUCAGUAUUUUGAGUUUUUAUGGUUCAGAAGUUUGGGGGAAGAAAAGGAAGGUUUUUUUUUUCUUUAUGCUAGUGAUUUAUCUGUGAAGGGAAGCAGAAAUCAGAGGUGGAAAAACUGACAGAUCUACUGUAGGCCAGGUAAAAGGUAAUGAUGAGUCUGACCUAAAGGGACAGCCAGGGGAAUUUAAAGAGCAUAGUUGAGAGAUGAUGUGCAUGCAGAAUCUAUAGAAUUUGCUAACUGAUUGAUUAAUUGUGGGUAGGAAGAGAGAAAUCAAAGAAAGUGGAGGUUUUGAGUUUCUAGAUAAUUGCAAGAGAGAAAAGAGACAAUUACAAAGGAAAGGAGAAGGAGCUACUUCUUGAGAGAAGAUCAGUUUAGAUUUAGACAUUUUAAGAAUUCAAAGGGUUGUCAAGACAGCCAGACGGACAUGGACACUAAUAAGUUAGAAAUAAAGGUUUUGUAAUAUGGGAAAGAGGACUGAGCUAGAAAAUAGACUCAUAGAUAAUCAGCCUAGGAGUGAUAUUGCUGUGAGAUAAAAGAAGAAAACAAAGUCAGAAUCUUGGAAAACACCCUCUUCAGAGUCUCGCUGCUCAAAACGUGGUCAGUGGCCCAGCAGCACUGACAUGAGGACCUUAGUUGGAAACUCAGAAUCUCAGGCUCCACCCCAGACCUGCUGAACCAGCAUCUUCAACUUAACAAGAACCCGAAGAGAUUUGUGCCACAUCAAAAAGUUUGAGAAGCUCUGAUCUAGGUGAGCCAAGCCAGCAAAGAAAGGGGGUGGAGCAGAAAAUGGGAGGAGAAUAGGGUAAUGCAGAAUCAUCAAGACAAGGUAAAUUGGACUUUCACAAAAACGGGGCUGGAAGGAGUGUUGCUCAACAAUAUCCAAAACCACAGAGGUUGAAAAGCACAAGGAAAGAAGGUAUGUUUGCACUUUGUGAUUAGGUAGUAGGGUCUUUAAGACCACAUUGUUCUCAUUGAAAGCCUGGGAAGAAAGAUCCCCUUUCUGGUCAAGGUUAGUCUAGGGAUCCAUCCCCUCUUCCCCAGUUCCCACGUAUAUGGGACAUGUCGAGAUAAGUAGAUAGAUUGGACAGUGGGAGAAAGUAGUUCUCUUCCAGUUGCUUCUAUUUUCUCAGCAAAGUGAGGAACAAGAUCAUUUUGGCAGACUGCUAAUUGUCCAUCAUAAUUUAGUCUCCCCUUCUCCCUGAAAACACAGACUGCUUUUCUCAGCCUCUCUUUCAGUUGCAUAUGGUCAAGUAUUAAGUUAUAGAACAUGAGCAGAUGUUAUGUCUGCCACUGUCAGGCCAAGGCGUUUACUUUGAGAGUACUUGUGCCUCUUUCAUACAUUUUCCUUUCUGCCAGCUGGACCCUGGACACGGUGACUCUGAUUCAAUUAUGCAGAUGACCACAAGCCUCUGGGGUUGGCAGAGCCACAAGAAAGAAGGUGCCUGGAUGAAGGAGAGCUACCCACUGACCUGGACACCCAAUUAUGUCAUAGGUGCUGCAAUCUAGAGACAAAAUAUUCCUUACACUGCCAGAUACUUGCAAACUAAGGGGAACGAGCUUCCCUCUGAAUGUUUAUGAAGGAGAGACCACUGUGUCAUCUGUCUUAGAGCUAUUGGAAUCCUGGAUCAUUGUGGGAAAUGAAAAGAACUGGUUUUUAGCAAGGAGACCAAGAAACUCUACUCCCUAGGGGCUAGCAAUGAGAGAAAGGAAGCCUUGAGUCUUUGAGCACAGGGUGACAGUUUGGGUCCUAUGUGAGAUGAUCAAAUCCACAGCAACAGAGGAAAGGACAAAAGGAAAAGAUACUUCGAUGGAAUCAGCAGCCAUUGAUCCAAUGCCAACUCCAAGACUGGAACGUCGCAAUGAUAGUUCCAAGGCGGAAAUUUGACGUAAUUCUUUUCGACACAGUUUUACAGACGAGAAACCCCAGCUGAGAAGGCAAAUAUACUCAAGGAAAUUAAUAGUUUCCAAAUGCCUGGCAGUGCCAGGAAGAGGCCAUGUCCAUGGACCACUAUGUAAGGAUAUCUCAGUCUCUAGUCAAGCGUGGUUUAUGGUGCCAAAUAAGUGCCAGGUGAACUCACUACAUCUGACAAAAUCUCAAGGAACCAAGUUUACCAGAUAAUAUUUAUGAUUAUGUGAAAAAGACUGAGGAAAUCACUCAAGUGAUCCAUCAUACAGCACCUCCAGUUCCAAAGAAUACUGACUUACUUCAGCUGUACUGGUCUGGAGCUGCACAUUCUUUUCAGAGAAGUCUUGUUCCAUUAAGUUCAGGCGAGU